AGGAGCUGGCUUUGGACAGACUACUCGUGAACUCGGUCAGGUCUGGAAGGAAGCAGCCGUAGCGAUUUUUGUCUGGGUUGAGGUCAGUUUCUCAC
rnacentral:SRP_RNA from 1 species